GAUGAACGCUGGCGGCGUGCCUAAUACAUGCAAGUCGAGCGAACGGACGAUAAGCUUGCUUCUCUGAUGUUAGCGGCGGACGGGUGAGUAACACGUGGAUAACCUACCUAUAUGACUGGGAUAACUUCGGGAAACCGGAGCUAAUACCAGAUGAUAUUUUGAACCGCAUGGUUCAAAAGUGAAAGACGGUCUUGCUGACACUUAUAGAUGGAUCCGCGCUGCAUUAGCUAGUUGGUAAGGUAACGGCUUACCAAGGCAACGAUGCAUAGCCGACCUGAGAGGGUGAUCGGCCACACUGGGACUGAGACACGGUCCAGACUCCUACGGGAGGCAGCAGUAGGGAAUCUUCCGCAAUGGGCGAAAGCCUGACGGAGCAACGCCGCGUGAGUGAUGAAGGUCUUCGGAUCGUAAAACUCUGUUAUUAGGGAAGAACAUAUGUGGAAGUAACUGUGCACAUCUUGACGGUACCUAAUCAGAAAGCCACGGCUAACUACGUG
rnacentral:rRNA from 1 species